rnacentral:piRNA from 1 species
UACAAAAUUCGUUCCGUUAUCGGAGCGUA